rnacentral:rRNA from 1 species
UACGGAGGGGACUAGCGUUGUUCGGAAUUACUGGGCGUAAAGCGCACGUAGGCGGAUUUGUAAGUCAGGGGUGAAAUCCCGGGGCUCAACCUCGGAACUGCCUUUGAUACUGCAAAUCUCGAGUCCGGAAGAGGUGAGUGGAAUUCCUAGUGUAGAGGUGAAAUUCGUAGAUAUCAAGCGGAACACCGGUGGCGAAGGCGGCCUUCUGGACAGUGACUGACGCUGAGACGCGAAAGCGUGGGGAGCAAACAGG